rnacentral:rRNA from 1 species
GACGAACGCUGGCGGCGUGCUUAACACAUGCAAGUCGAACGGAAAGGCCCUGCUUUUGUGGGGUGCUCGAGUUGCGAACGGGUGAGUAACACGUGAGUUACCUGCCCUUGACUUUGGGAUAACUUCAUGAAACUUGGGCUAAUACCGGAUAGGAGCUCCUGCUGCAUGGUGGGGGUUGGAAAGUUUCGGCGGUUGGGGAUGGACUCGCGGCUUAUCAGCUUGUUGGUGGGGUAGUGGCUUACCAAGGCUUUGACGGGUAGCAGGCCUGAGAGGGUGACCGGCCACAUUGGGACUGAGAUACGGCCCAGACUACUACGGGAGGCAGCAGUGGGGAAUAGUGCACAAUGGGCGGAAGCAUGAUGCAGCAACGCCGCGUGCGGGAUGACGGCAUUCGGGUUGUAAACCGCUUUCGCCUGUGACGAAGCGUGAGUGACGGUAAUGGGUAAAGAAGCACCGGCUAACUACGUG